rnacentral:rRNA from 1 species
AGAGUUUGAUCCUGGCUCAGAACGUACGCUGGCGGCACGCUUAACACAUGCAAGUCGAACGAAGUAGCAAUACUUAGUGGCAGACGGGUGAGUACAAUGUGGGAAUCUGCCUUUUGGUUUAGAAUAACUCGGGGAAACUUGAGCUAAUACUAGAUAAGCCCUCACGGGGAAAGCUUUAUGCGCCAAGAGAUGAGCCCGCACUUGAUUAGCUUGUUGGUGAGGUAAAAGCUCACCAAGGCAACGAUCAAUAGCUGUUCUUAGAGGAAGAUCAGCCACAUUGGGACUGAGACACGGCCCAGACUCCUACGGGAGGCAGCAGUGGGGAAUCUUGCACAAUGGGGGAAACCCUGAUGCAGCGAUGCCGCGUGAGUGAAGAAGGCCUUUGGGUUGUAAAAUCUUUCGUCGGGGAAGAAAUGACUGUACCGGAUAAGAAGGUCCGGCUUACUUCGUGCCAGCAGGCGCGGUAAUACGGAGGGACUUAGCGUAGUCGGAGUUACUGGGCUUAAAGAGCUCGUAGGUGGUAAAGAAGUUGGUGGUGAAAUCCCAGGGCUUAACCUUGGAACUGCCAUCAAAACUUUUUAGCUAGAGUAUGAUAGAGGAAAGUGGAAUUUCUAGUGUAGAGGUGAAAUUCGUAGAUAUUAGAAAGAACAUCAAAAGCGAAGGCAACUUUCUGGAUCAUUACUGACACUGAGGAGCGAAAGCAUGGGUAGCGAAGAGGAUUAGAUACCCUCGUAGUCCAUGCCGUAAACGAUGUGUGCUAGACGUUGGAAAUUUAAUUUUCAGUGUCGCAGCAAAAGCGUUAAGCACACCGCCUGGGGAGUACGACCGCAAGGUUAAAACUCAAUGAAUUGACGGGACCCGCACAGCAGUGGAGCAUGUGGUUUAUUUCGGAGAUACGCGCAGAUCUUACGACUCUGACAUGUCGUCGCGACUCGUAGAGAUAUGAGUCUCGGUUCGGGCUGACGAAACACAGGUGCUGCAUGGCUGUCGUCAGCUCGUGUCUUGAGAUGUUGUGUUAAGUCCCGCAACGAGCGCAACCCCUACGUUUAGUUACUAACAUUUAGUUGAGUACUCUAAACGAACUGCCAGUGAUAAGCUGGAGGAAGGCGGGGAUGACGUCAAGUCCUCAUGGCCCUUACGAGUUGGGCUACACACGUGCUACAAUGGUACUUACAAUAAGACGCAAAGAGGCGACUCUAAGCUAAUCUUAAAAAUGUAUCUCAGUUCGGAUUGCACUCUGCAACUCGAGUGCAUGAAGCUGGAAUUGCUAGUAAUCGCGGAUCAGCGCGCCGCGGUGAAUACGUUCCCGGGUCUUGUACACACCGCCCGUCACACCAUGGAAGUUGGUUACACCUUAAGGCAAAGCGUAAAACCUUUGACUACGGUACGAUCAGCGACUGGGGUGAAGUCGUAACAAGGUAACC